rnacentral:rRNA from 1 species
UAAUACAUGCAAGUCGAGCGAAUGAUGAAGAAGCUUGCUUCUUCUGAUUUAGCGGCGGACGGGUGAGUAACACGUGGGCAACCUACCUAGUAGAUUGGGAUAACUCCGGGAAACCGGGGCUAAUACCGAAUAAUCCAUUUUGUCACAUGGCAAAAUGCUGAAAGGCGGUUUCGGCUGUCACUACUAGAUGGGCCCGCGGUGCAUUAGCUAGUUGGUGGGGUAACGGCCUACCAAGGCAACGAUGCAUAGCCGACCUGAGAGGGUGAUCGGCCACAUUGGGACUGAGACACGGCCCAAACUCCUACGGGAGGCAGCAGUAGGGAAUCUUCCACAAUGGACGAAAGUCUGAUGGAGCAACGCCGCGUGAGUGAUGAAGGUUUUCGGAUCGUAAAACUCUGUUGUAAGGGAAGAACAAGUACGUUAGUAACUGAACGUACCUUGACGGUACCUUAUUAGAAAGCCACGGCUAACUACGUGCCAGCAGCCGCGGUAAUACGUAGGUGGCAAGCGUUGUCUGGAUUUAUUGGGCGUAAAGCGCGCGCAGGUGGUUUCUUAAGUCUGAUGUGAAAGCCCACGGCUCAACCGUGGAGGGUCAUUGGAAACUGGGAGACUUGAGUGCAGAAGAGGAAAGUGGAAUUCCAAGUGUAGCGGUGAAAUGCGUAGAGAUUUGGAGGAACACCAGUGGCGAAGGCGACUUUCUGGUCUGUAACUGACACUGAGGCGCGAAAGCGUGGGGAGCAAACAGGAUUAGA